rnacentral:rRNA from 1 species
UACGGGGGGGGCAAGCGUUGUUCGGAAUUACUGGGCGUAAAGGGCUCGUAGGCGGUCAACUAAGUCAGACGUGAAAUCCCUCGGCUUAACCGGGGAACUGCGUCUGAUACUGGAUGGCUAGAGGUUGGGAGAGGGAUGCGGAAUUCCAGGUGUAGCGGUGAAAUGCGCAGAUAUCAGGAGGAACACCGGUGGCGAAGGCGGGUCUCUGGGCCGAUACUGACGCUGAGGAGCGAAAGCGUGGGGAGCGAACAGG